GGAUGGGUGACAGAGUGGUCGAUUGUGCACGCCUGGAAAGCGUGUGUGCUGAAAGGCACCGAGGGUUCGAAUCCCUCCCCAUCCGCCA
rnacentral:tRNA from 1 species